UUAACCACCAAAACGAGGAAAAUGGACUAAAACUGACAAACAAAGCCGUGGAACUAAGACUACCGCAAAAAAAGAGAGAAAGUAAUGGCUUAAAGAAACUAAGUGACAACACAAAAGACUUGAUUGCUGUGUGGUGUGGCUGAACUCCUACGCUUGCACCUUGGCUGGCAUAUUUAGGAUUCCACGUGUGCAGCUGUCGCCAAUUUACCGAUUGGGCAUACCUGCAACAGGAGAGAGAGAGAGAAAGGGGAAAAGCAAGCUCUGCUCGUCAGUUGCCAGGUUACACCCAGUGGAAUCUCAGCACACAGGACUGGGGUCACUUAAGAGUGAAGUGCCAGUGUCAGACUGCUCACCCCUCGUGGAACGUGGACUCAUUUGGAAAGUCCACACUCCGCUCCGUUAUUAAAAUGUUUCACUGGGCAUUAAUUUCAUUGGGCGAUCUGAAGUCACGGACGAGAGCCCAGAUGGUGUGGUACAGUGCAGUGGCAUCCCCCUGGUCCCGUGUCGAACAGCUGUGCGCUCGGCAGGGUGGUGUCCUCCGGCCGUGAGCUGGUGCCGAGGGAUCCCGGUGACGGAUAGGACGGCUGGCCGCUGCUUUUUCAUUGGCCGGUCCCUUUGCGAAGGCCCGCUGCUUCUGUUUUUGCAACGAGACCAACAUCUGGACCUCUGGUCCGGCGUUUGCUCUCUCACUUUGGGCAUUGAGCCUUGCGGAUGUGAGACCCAUGGCCUAGCCGACAGAUGUUCACUUGUGACAGAUUAUACUUUUAGCUUUUGUAUUAAUAAAGGAUUCUAGGGAAUAAUAAAGGACAAUUAAGCGAGGG